AGACAAUGAUAAGCAAAGUAUAAAAAAUGUUUGCAACAUCCGUCCUCCCCUAAAGCUAUAAUGUCUGUCAGUAUCAAUUAAAUUAUUCAUUAUUCAAUUAGUCAUGUAAGAUAAAUGCAUGCCGAUCCAAAAAAAAUCCAUUUAAGAAUUAUGCAUUAACUGCGCAAAAUAAUGUAAAAUCAGACAUUUAUUUCGUCUUAUACGUCUGUUUAAUUGUUCAUAUGAUCCCGAGUCGAGUUACUAGCUGAGAAUGAUUAGCCUGCGUUAAUAAAAUCUAAUUAAUAUAGAUAAUUGAUGUGCAGUUAAUGCUUGUCGACUGUUUUUAAUGUCAGUCAGCGUUUUAGGAUGUAAUAUAACAUACUGUACAAGUAGGAAGUUUAAUGUCUGUGCUUUCUAUUUGAUUGGUCACUGUUCAUUUCCAGUGGUGCUGAAAUUCUGCUUCAGUCAUAAAAACUUUAAACUGCUAUUGUCUAUUGUAAACUGCGUGUAAUCGGUUUCAGGUUCUUUUAGAGUGACUCCCAAAUUAGUGGAGACACAGCCUGAGUUGAAUAUUAAUAAUUUUAUAUUAAGUCUACUUCGAAAACUGGGCUGGUCAGAUUCAAGGAAUCGACUCUUUUGGAGUCGACUCCUCAUCAGUACUGCGCAAGUGCGCAUGUGCUUACAAAGAUCAUCACAUCUAUUCUCACGUGGAAGUGAUCGCCGCGGGAAAACUGAGUUUGUCUAGUUCCUCCAUGGUUGUGAGAGGAAAGACAUCAUCCUCGCUGUCCACCAGCAGCACUGGAGCACUGGAACGUCUGUUAGCUGCAAGAGACUGGACCACUGAAGUCAGAUGAUUGAUCUUCAUGUCCAGUUCGUUAAGUGCCUCCAGAAUUGUCCUCUCAACAGCUGCAACACAUUAGAUGGGUGUUCACCCCAAGCAUCCUCUUGCUCAUUUUCAUUGGACAAGCUCACUGGAACAGCUGGAGUGAAGAAAGGUGAAGUUGGUGAGUGUUCACCCCAAGUAUCUUGUGGCUCAUCUGCCUGGGAGAAGCUCAUGUGAAUAUCUGGAGCUGAGAAUGAUGGAACUGUACUCAUGUAGAGCCUGUUACCUUGACAGCUGGGGAAAGUCUCAAAACGUGCCUGCUGUGGCUUCUCCAUGGCCCUUUGGUGGUGACUAACAAGUGCUGUUGAAAGAAUUGAGGUGUUGGAGCUUUUGGUGCAGGCAGAACUUUUGGUGCGGGCUGGAUUUUUGGUAAUUUUCAGAUUCUGAGAUGUCAGAAGUGUAGCAUGCCCUUUUCCAUUUUUUGGAAAUGUUGUCAAAUGAUGCUGAAAUUAUCAAAAAUUCUGGCCUGAUGCUUGGUCCAACCCUUAUCUGGCUGUGGUGCCUCCAUCGACCUGACGCUCUUUAGUAACCGGUCCAAGUCUUUGUAUGGAGGCCACCAUGAGUGGCCAUCUGAGUACCAGGACUUUGCUACAGGACCGGUACUCCCUUCUCCGACGAACUCCACUAUCAGGUACAUGUUCUUUUUGUUGUUGUUUUUUUCUUUAUUUUAGCUGCAACAACCUAAAGCCCCAUAAAGUGUAACAAUUCUUAUUACAUUUCAGUUUUUCAUAUGCAUGAUUCAGUUACCCAAAAUAAAAGUAGCAAGUCCAAAAAAAAAAAAAAUAAAAAAAAAAAAAUUAGUGUGUGUGUAAAAGAGGGACUGAAACAAAAUUACGGUUAUAAGGAACUAAGAAAGCUUUCGCCUCAAUGUUCUCAAACUUGCAGAAAUGUGUUGGUCCUGAGAUGCCAUCAACUAGAUGAAUACCAAGUUCUGAGGAUGGAAGGGGAUAAUCAAAAAAAGGUUCAUGAUUGUUGAAGGUAGUGUAGGCCACGUAAAUGUCAUCCCUCGCUGAAAUUAUAUUUUGCAGCUUUGCAACUUUCCCAUCUAUGUAAACAAAACUGUUGGCCUGGUCCAGUUUAAGAGUGUAAGAGCAUGUUUUUAUUUCUUUGUACUGUGAAGAUCCAUGAAAACAUUCAGGUAGAGGGCCAGCCGUGUGUUGUUUUCUGAGCAGUGGUGGGUUGUUUUUCUCCUUUUUUUUGCUGCAGCUUUGCAUUUCUGAGAACCUUCUCACAAUUUGACUCAGUGGACAUGUAGGUUUCCGCAGGAGUCUCUUCAGCUUGUUAAGGUGAUCCUCGUACUGGAAAGCACUGAAGUUGUCGAGGACACCAUGGUGUUUUGCAUCUUCUGCAAGAUGUACAAGACAGUGGACGUUGUAGGACAGGAAUUUGGGGCCAUAUAGCUGUCCAAAGUGUGUGACAAAAAGUUGCAGAAUAUCAUUGGCAUAGUUGAUGUGAUCACCAAUUAGGCUGUUAUUGCACAAGAUUCCCACAAAAAACAGCAGGAAGUUUUUGUACACCUCCGUGCUGAGUAGGUCUUUCAGCAUAACAGGGCCUGUGUACAAUAAAAACUGUCUAAACUCUGUCGCCUUCCAUCGAUCUAUUUCCCUCACUGCCCUCGGU